CCUACGGGAGGCAGCAGUGAGGAAUAUUGGUCAAUGGACGAGAGUCUGAACCAGCCAAGUAGCGUGAAGGAUGACUGCCCUAUGGGUUGUAAACUUCUUUUAUAAAGGAAUAAAACGAGGCACGUGUGCCUUUUUGCAUGUACUUUAUGAAUAAGGAUCGGCUAACUCCGUGCCAGCAGCCGCGGUAAUACGGAGGAUCCGAGCGUUAUCCGGAUUUAUUGGGUUUAAAGGGAGCGUAGAUGGGUUGUUAAGUAAGUUGUGAAAGUUUGCGGCUCAACCGUAAAAUUGCAAUUGAUACUGGCAGUCGUGAGUACAGUUGAGGUAGGCGGAAUUCGUGGUGUAGCGGUGAAAUGCUUAGAUAUCACGAAGAACCCCGAUUGCGAAGGCAGCUUACUAAACUGUGACUGACAUUGAUGCUCGAAAGUGUGGGUAUCAAACAGGAUUAGAUACCCCUGUAGUC
rnacentral:rRNA from 1 species